UGACAACCUCUGUUCAGUUCAUCAGGAUAUUGUAACAGUCCAUAAUAGGAAUUUUAUGUUUAUGCCUGCAGCGUCUAUGGUUGGGGUCCAAAAGAUGAGCCUGAACCCUCAAAUAAGACGUGAGUGCCAUUACAGAACCAAGUUUUGAAUUAUAAGCCAUUAUUAAUUGUUAAACAUUUUACCACUAACUCACAACGUACUGUGUAAUGUUAUCUGAGCAGGGAAGAGAUCAGCAAAAUGAACACAGAAGUGAGUCAAAAUGGGGCCAGUGAAAAUGACCAGGCCGCACUAGAUGGCACUCUCAGUCUGUCUAAAGUCAGCAUACAAGACGACCUGAUGAGGUUUGAUGGGAAGGCACAAGAUCCAGGUAAGGGCUGGGCUUACAAAGCUAAACAUCUUCUGCAAUUUAUCAAAGUAUAUGAAUUAAUCCAAUGUUUUGAGGUUUUCAGGCCUAAAAUGUGAGAAGUAAUUGGAAAACAUGUUUUUUUGUUAGUUUCAGGGCGCAGUUACCUGUUCAACUCUUCCACUAGUGAACGGCGUUGGUUGUAGGGGACGUCCAGUCUUACCAUCAACGACCUGCACUGAUUUAAGUGCUGUUUAUACCAUCUGGAGCUGAAGAGGAUUCAUAUGAUGUGGAUUCAUAGUAUGUGGAUUCAUAGUAGGUGCGCAAUCAGGCAUUUUAGCAUAAUUGUGAUUUCAAUUACAGGUCGAUUUGAAGUUUGUAAGAGUGAUAUUUUAAAAGGUACUAUUUAAUACAUAAUCAUGCUGACCUGCUGUGUUGGAGGCUACUCCUUAAUUACUAUUCCUGUGUGUGUACUCAUGUAGUUCAGCAUCAACAGUAUACCUUAUAUAUACACACAGAAGUAUGUGGACACCCCUUCAAAUUAGUAGAUGUGGCCAUUUCAGCCACACCCGUUGCUGAUUGGUGUAUAAAAUCUAGCAAACAGCCAUGCAAUGUCCAUUGACAAAGAUUGGCAGUAGCAUGGCAUUACUGAAGAGCUAAGUGAAUUUUAAUGUGGCACUGUCAUAGGAUGCCACCUUUCCAACAAGUCAGUUCAUCAAAUGUUUCCCCUGCUAGAGCUGCUGUAAGUGCUGUUAUUGUAAAGUGGAAAUGUCUAGGAGCAACAACGGCUCAGCCGCAAAGUGGUAGACCACACAAGCUCACAGAACAGGACCGCUGAAUGCUGACGCACGUAUAAAUAGUCAAUCCUCAGUUGCAAUAUUCAUUACGGAGUUCCAAACGGCCUCUGGAAGCAACAUCAGCACAAUAACUGUUUGUCGGGAGCUUCAUAAAAUGAGUUUCCAUGGCCGAGCAGUCACACAAAAGUCUAAAAGUACCAUGCAUAAUGCCAAGCAUCGGCUGGAGUGGUGUAAAGCUCACCACAUUUAGACUCUGGAGCAGUGGAAACACGUUCUCUGGAGUGACGAUUCACUCUUCAUCUGGCAGUCCGACGGACAAAUCUGGGUUUGGCGGAUGCCAGGAGAACCCUACCUGCUCCAAUGCAUAGUGCCAACUGUAAAGAUUGGUGGAAGAGGAAUAAUGAUCUGGGGCUGUUUUUCAUGGUUCGGGCUAGGCCCAUUAGUUAAAGUGAAGAGAAAUCUUUGCUACAGCAUACAAUGACAAUUCUAGAAGAUUCUGUGCUUCCAAAUUUG
rnacentral:lncRNA from 1 species